rnacentral:rRNA from 1 species
GGGGGGGGGGGGGGGGGGGGGGGGCGCGGGGGGGGCGGGGGGAGGGGGUCGUGCUUGGGGGGGGACUCGAGUGGCGAACGGGUGGGUAGCACGUGGGUGAUCUGCCCUGCACUUCGGGAUAAGCCUGGGACACUGGGUCUCCUACCGGAUAGGACGAUGGUUUGGAUGCCAUUGUGGCACGGUUUUCGGUGUGGGCUGAGCUCGCGGCCUAUCAGCUUGUUGGUGGGGUCAUGGCCUCCCAAGGCGUAAACGGGUAGCCGGCCUGAGCGGGUGUACGGCCACAUUGGGACUGAGAUACGGCCCAGACUCCUACGGGAGGCAGCAGUGGGGAAUAUUGCACAAUGGGCGCAAGCCUGAUGCAGCGACGCCGCGUGGGGGAUGACGGCCUUCGGGUUGUAAACUCCUUUCGCUAGGGACGAAGCGUUUUGUGACGGUACCUGGAGAAGAAGCACCGGCUAACUACGUG